AAAGGCAUUACAUCCUAAAAAAGGGGUUGGGAACAUGUAUUAUUUGCCGCCUGCAUGUUUUGCUAUGAACAAUAGAGAGAGAGGUUUGUUUUGUACACUCUUGAAGAAUAUCAAAGUUCCAGAUGGGUAUGCAUCCAAUAUUUCUCGUCGUGUUAACCUCAAACAACAUAGCCUGUGAUCUUGAAAACAGCUUUUGAAAUAUAGAGUUUCAGUCUUCAGUCAUCUGGCAUGGCACAAUAUAUAGUCACAAAGUUGCCAAUUAUUUGCAGGUCAAUACAGAUGCCGAUGAGUCAAUGAAGAAAUUUGUUUUGGCAUCUGUUGGCAAAAAAUGGAGAGAGUGGAAGGCUAGAGUUAAACAAAUGGGGUAUACGCCAUUCGACAACGAUGCUGAUAGGUUAACUCAUUGACCCAAAAGAGUACAUGAGCAUCAAUGGCGAAGCUUAGUCUAUUAUUGGGGCACUCGAAAGGCACAGAAAAAAAGUACAAAAAACAAAGAAAUUCGGAAGAAGAAGACAUUAAAUCACAUAACUGGCAGAAAACCAUUCUCAGUUGUUCGAGUAGAGGAAACUAAUAAGAAGAAAAGAGUUCCUGCAACUCGCUUAGAGGUGUGGAUGGCUGGGUACUCGAAGGAUAACAAACCAAGUAAUGAUAAAGUUGCUGAGGUCAUGACACAAAUGAAGGAUCUUGGGGCGCAAUCCAAUGCUACAGAUGAAGAAAUUAUCACACAGGUUCUAGGGCCUGAGCGACCUGGUCGUGUUCGAAUAUAUGGAUUGGGUCCUUCUUCGACAGAUGUCUUUGGAGGCGGAUAUAGGCAAUCGCAAGAACAAACUCGUAUCAUCCAAAUGCAAGUCCAAGAGCAACUUAACCAAUAUAAAGCACA